rnacentral:lncRNA from 1 species
AAAAAAAAAAAAAAAAAAAAAAAACGCGAGACAAAAGUCUACCCACCUGAUAAAUUAUAAUAUCACGCGCGAUUUAUUGUAAUGCACUUGAUGCACGGACGACGGGAUAUAACAUGCGAUUAAAAAGUCUCUAAUACCUAUAACGAUAACGUGAAUCCGGGAAAAUCGGAAUUUCGGGGGGUUUUUUUUUUUUUUUUCUACACGUAUGUGUACGUUGUGUUCGAUUGCGAACAAAAACAAUUUGGAAUCACGAAUAAUGCGGGGAAAAACUGAUAACACGUUUGGCGGUAUUGCAGGGGUUUCGAGUGUGCACUGCAAGUGCGCGAUUCCGUAUCACUCGAUGCUCGCGACCAGGAUUCGUUUUCGGAGCGCGUUUGGGUUUGUGAAUUUCGAAUACGUUGCCGGACGAGUCUGUCGGACAGUGACGCGCAACACGGAAAUCACACGGAAACGCGUAGAAAUCGUUGCAGUAUACUAAUACAAUAUUAUGAUUUCGCGACAUUUUCUAUCACUAUUUGGUAGGUGAGUAUUAUUUGUAAAAAAAAAAACAAAAAAACAAAACGAAACGAAACGAUAUUCUGCGCGUGAUAAGUAACGAUGUCAAUACUAUAUUGCGGUUAGUGUAUACAUUUAUGAUGUUACUCGAAGUUGUUCUGAGCGAGAUUCGUUUCUACGAUGAUAUUAAACUAAACGGUCGUUUUGCAAAGAAAAACAAAAACCAACGAAAUAACGCAAAUGAAAUGUACAACGCGAAAAUAUAUAAUAUUACCUAUUCGUAAAAAUCUAAUAAGAGCGGUACGUUCUAUUAUUAUGUUUUUUUUUUGCUUUUUCGGUAAUCGUCUCUACAAUAAACAACUAUAAAUUGUUACGAGUGCAUACAAUUAAUAAUUAUAAUAACGCGACAACGACGAUGAUGAGAUAUACGAACUAUAACGACUACGCGUACAAAGUGUUUUUUUUUUUUUUUUUUUUAUUAUUUUUUUUAUUUUGUUCGAAUGGCCCGAAAGUCUACGAAUAAAACGCCAUCUCGUGCGUUACAAUUUGAACGUAUACCUAGACAUAUUACUCUAUUCGAUUAUACAAUAAAAUAUAAUAAUAGGUAAUAAUAUCGAUUUUUUUUUUUUCUAAAACGACGGGGUAAACUUAUGUUUCGACGGAAAUGAAAAAAAAAAAAAAAACGAAUAAUAAACCAACCUAAUAAACGCUACGAUAAUAUUGUAAAUAUAUGUAUAUAAAUAAAAAAUAACGCUAUUAUAAUAUUUAUAUUUUAUGCAGGUAAACAAGUAAUAUUAUAUUAUUCUGUUAGAUAAAAAAGUAGAAAAAAAGAUUCGAUUAUUUACGUAUAUUACGCGAUAUUUUAUAAUAAUAAAAUAACAUAUUCGUCUAAAACGCUAUAAAAAAUUGUUUCUAUAUUAGCGAUGAUAAUAAUAAUAAUAAUAAUAAUAAAAAAAAAAAAAAAUUUUGCUAAUUAUACAAUUAAUAGAUUAAUUACAUUGUUACAUUGUUAAUCGGAGGACCGCGCGUAAACCGCGAUCUGUAAUCUUUUUCUAAAAUAAUAAUAAUAAUAAAAAAAAUUUGUCUAAAAACUCUUCAACUUUAAUAGUAAUGAUGAUAAUAAUAAUGAUAAUAAUAAUAAUAAUAAUAAUAAUAAUAAUGUUUUGUAUUACCCUAUUACAAUAAAUGCUAUUUAAUAUGUUACAUAAUAUACCUAAUUGAUCGAAACGCAAAAUAAUUAUUAAUCAAUUAAUAAUAAUAAUAAUAAUAAUAAUAAUACAAUUAAUAACAAAAAACUCGCACGUAAUUAUAAUAAUAAUAUAGUUAAUAAUAGAAAGACAAUAAUAAUAAUAAUAAUAAUUAAUAAUCAUAUACUAUAAAUAUAACGAAUUAAUAAGAAACUUUAUACAAACAGCAAAAAACGAAAAAAAAAAAAUUCGCUUCCGUUUUAUUACAAUACUUGUAUACUUAUUACGAUCUAAAUUAGAAAAAAAAAAAUAUACAUAUAUAUAUUUAUAUAUAUGUAUACAAACAUUAUUAUCCUAAUUAUUGCGAAAGGUAAUAAGGUGAGUCCGUUCCGGUAUCUUAUGUGUGAUUGUCACUUGUAAACAUUUUUUUUUUUUUUUUUUNNNNNNNNNNNUUUUAAAAAAAAAAAAAAAAAAAAAAAAAAAACCUUAAAGAUAUGUUAUUAUAUUAUAUUAUUACAAUAAUAUAAAUUAUCCAAAAAACGAAAUACGCUAAAAAAAAAAAAAAAACUCUUCGUAAGUAUUAUAAUAAUCGCGUUUGUUAAUUUUCGAUACAAUACUAUUCUACCCUGUGAGUAUACACGAAAUAUGCGUGUGUAUGACUUUUUUUUUUCAAAUACAAUAUGUAUAUUAGAAAUAUCUAUACGCGUGUAUGACGACUUUUACUGUGUGUGUGUUUUGCGUAGAUGUGUUUGUGAGUAUAAAACAAUACGGCGAGAGAAAAAACUGCGCAGAGAAGAAGAUUAUUGAGAAGAAAAAACAAAAAUCAUCAAAAUUCUCGAACAGCUAAAAUCAGUGGCGGCUAUCCUACGGUCGCCGAGGCGAGUGUUUCACCGACGCCGGUGAAAAAAAAAAAAAAAAAAAAAAAAAAAAAAAUAAUCAAAUCGAUUAUUGGCGGCGACGAAAUACCGACAUUUCUUCUUCCGUUCAAAAUACAGAGACCUUUGAGACCGGCGGCCCGAGCGCAACACGCCCUCCCGCCUAUAUGUUUCCGUUCUAAUCCAGGUCCCGCCGCGCCGACGUCCCCGACAACGCAAUCCUCCGGCGUGUUAGACUAGGUUUUCUUAGCGGGCCGCCCCCGUCGCGUUGAAUUCGCUAUCCAUCACGGUCCGUGAUUAUUAUCGAUCCCCGCCUGUCCGUUUCCAAUAAACGCGUCCGAUAAAACGCACUGUACGCGCCGGGGUUGAUUGAAGGUCGACGCUGAACGCGGCGGGUGCGCGAGUCGUCUCGGAAACGUGCACAGCGUCGCGUAUGUUGGACAUUUUUUUCGCCAACGGACGUCCGCCACUGGUUGAAAAACUGGCGGCCGCAAACAACGGCCAAGAAAUUAUCGCCUUUCACACAACAGUCGUACGUAUUUUUUUUGUCGAAAAACUUUAAGUAAAAACUAACGAGUAAAAAGAAAAAAAAAAAUGAUUAACAAUAACAAUAAUAAUGAUAACAAUAUAACAGCCCGUACGUAUUAUUAAUAGAACUAUACAAUAAUAAUAUUAUAUAAAUAUAAAUAAAUA